GAGAGAGACAUGCGCGCAUAUCAAUAAGCGGAGGAAAAGAAACUAACAAGGAUUCCCCUAGUAACGGCGAGUGAAGCGGGAAGAGCUCAAAUUUGAAAUCUUAAAGGGUUUCCCUUUACGAAUUGUAGUUUAAAGAAGUGUUUUCUGUUGAGGUUUUGGUAAAAAGUUCUUUGGAAUAGGACAUCAUAGAGGGUGAGAAUCCCGUAUUUGACCUUUACUUUCAUCUUUGUGAUACACUUUCAAAGAGUCGGAUUGUUUGGGAAUGCAGUCCAAAAUGGGUGGUAAAUCUCAUCUAAAGCUAAAUAUUGGCGAGAGACCGAUAGCGAACAAGUACCGUGAGGGAAAGAUGAAAAGAACUUUGAAAAGAGAGUUAAACAGUACGUGAAAUUGUCAAAAGGGAAGCGUUUGACACCAGUGUUGUUUUUCUGAAGAUCAAUUAAAGAACUGUUUAUGCUAAGUUGUUUAGACUUUAUCAGCUAACUGUUUAGUUUUGAGCUUUUCUUUAAUGCACUUUUCAGUUAACAAGUCAACAUCAAUUUCUUUUGCUGUAAAAAAGCUUGAGGAAGGUGGCUUGAGAUUCGUCUUAAGUGUUUAUAGCCUCUUGCCUAUGCAGUCGGAGAGAUUGAGGUCUGCAGCGUAGAUCCCUUCGGGGCUAAAUGCAUUUGUGCUAAGUUAUAGCAUUUUAUAGACAACUUGUUGACUAUGAUUUGUCUUGUAGCUUACUCGCUUAUGUUAUUUUACCUACGCUUAGGAUGUUGAGCGCAUGUCUCUCUCU
rnacentral:rRNA from 1 species